rnacentral:tRNA from 1 species
GGCAUUUCAUCUAGUGGUUAAGACACCUGUAUCCCAUACUGGAGUCCCUGAGUUCAAUUCUUGGAAAUGCCU